AGUUAUUCUCUACCAUUUUUAAAAAAAAUUGGAAUGAUACAGAGAAAUUAACAUGAUCCCCGCACAAUGACAGCAUGCAAAACCAAAAUGUUUCAUAUAUUCAU